AUGUUCUUAUCAUCCUCAGUCAUACAACUGCAUAGAAUUUUAAGGCAUUCUCACCACAAGUGACCUCAUCCAUAUGUCCAAAACGUUGCCAUGAUUUUGGACGUGAUUGGACCUGGAAAUAAAAGGUAAUAUGGGCAGGUAAAUGGAUUUCCUCCAUGCUACAACUGAUAAGAUACAGCUUAUAACAUAUAAACAAGGAGGUUAAAAAUGACUAGAUAUAUUGUCUUCAACCUGGUGAAGAAAAUUUAUGAAUGAGAUUGGUAGAAUGAGGAAUGAAUUCUUGUAAGUUCUUGUGUUAUUAUACAUGAUUGUACAUCUUGGAAGGUGCCACCUAUCAAAUGAUGCAAG